rnacentral:lncRNA from 1 species
GGCGCCCUUCUCGGACCGGACGCAGGGGCCGGCGACCACGCCCUGGGACCGAGAAGAGGGGUGCGGGACGCGCCCAGAUCCUCGGCCUUGGGGCUGCUCGGCACGCCUUGGCGCGAGUGCCACGUCGAGAGGCGUCGGCGGGGAGCGCGGAAGGGGACGCUGGCCCCCAGGCCCAGGUCAAGCGCCUUGGUUUGCCCACUAGGAUUGUUUUAAGAAAAUGGCAGACAAACCAGACAUGGGGGAAAUCGCCAGCUUCGAUAAGGCCAAGCUGAAGAAAACGGAGACGCAGGAGAAGAACACCCUGCCGACCAAAGAGACCAUUGAGCAGGAGAAGCGGAGUGAAAUUUCCUAAGAUCCUGGAGGAUUUCCUACCCCCGUCCUCUUCGAGACCCCAGUCGUGAUGUGGAGGAAGAGCCACCUGCAAGAUGGACACGAGCCACAAGCUGCACUGUGAACCUGGGCACUCCGCGCCGAUGCCACCGGCCUGUGGGUCUCUGAAGGGACCCCCCCCCAAUCGGACUGCCAAAUUCUCCGGUUUGCCCCGGGAUAUUAUAGAAAAUUAUUUGUAUGAAUAAUGAAAAUAAAACACACCUCGUGGC